UUUGUUUUCUUUUUUACAAUCACAGAACAAGGCAAUUUGCAGCAAAGUGUUGCGUGCAACUGCUCUCAAAGCCACCUUAUGCCAUUUGGGACAGCACGGGGACUGCUGCUCGCUGCGUGUUGGCUGUGCAGAGACUAGUAGGAGCUCGUGGUUACAGCACUGUGAUCCAGCUAGCUUGUGUUUUGGUGCAUCUUGCCUGUGCUUUUCCAUGUUCCUGCUCUUGCAAUAGGUGAAGUGCAGAGGAUGAAGAGCUGGGGCACAGAGGGACCUCCAUGAAGUCUGUUAAAUGGAUCCUGCGUUUCUGCUGGAAAAGACUAACGGAAACAAACAGCAAAGACCAGAAAGCUGUGUGUAAAAUGUAGAUUCUACCUUUUCUUCUCAUGUGACUCCCUCUUUGACUAUCUUUUAUUUGUGAAUAAAUAACCAUCCACUUGAA